UACGAAGGUGGCAAGCGUUGUUCGGAUUUACUGGGCGUACAGGGUGCGUAGGCGGUUGGUUAAGUCCUCCGUGAAAUCUCCAGGCUUAACCUGGAAAGUGCAGAGGGGACUGUUCAGCUAGAGGAUGGGAGAGGAGCGCGGAAUUCCCGGUGUAGCGGUGAAAUGCGUAGAGAUCGGGAGGAAGGCCGGUGGCGAAGGCGGCGCGCUGGAACAUUUCUGACGCUGAGGCUCGAAAGCGUGGGGAGCAAACAGG
rnacentral:rRNA from 1 species